GUCUACGGCCAUACCAGCCUGAAUGCGCCCAAAUCCUGUCUGAUCUCGGAAGCUAAGCAGGGUCGGGCCUGGUUAGUACUUGGAUGGGAAAUGAGCCUUUGAAU
rnacentral:rRNA from 1 species